rnacentral:rRNA from 1 species
GACGAACGCUGGCGGCGUGCUUAACACAUGCAAGUCGAACGGUGAAGCGCCUUCCUUUUUGGUGGGUGUGGAUGAGUGGCGAACGGGUGAGUAACACGUGAGUAACCUGCCCCCUUCUUCUGGAUAACCGCAUGAAAGUGUGGCUAAUACGGGAUAUUCUGGGUCUGUCGCAUGAUGGGUCUGGGAAGGUAUUGUUUCGGUGGGGGAUGGGCUCGCGGCCUAUCAGCUUGUUGGUGGGGUGAUGGCCUACCAAGGCGGUGACGGGUAGCCGGCCUGAGAGGGUGGACGGUCACACUGGGACUGAGACACGGCCCAGACUCCUACGGGAGGCAGCAGUGGGGAAUAGUGCACAAUGGGCGCAAGCCUGAUGCAGCGACGCCGCGUGAGGGAUGGAGGCCUUCGGGUUGUGAACCUCUUUCGCCAGUGAAGCAGGCCUGCCUCGUUUGUGGGUGGGUUGACGGUAGCUGGAUAAGAAGCGCCGGCUAACUACGUG